AUACGGAGGGUGCAAGCGUUGUUCGGAAUUACUGGGCGUAAAGCGCGUGUAGGCGGUCGGGCAAGUCGAAUGUGAAAUCCCCGGGCUCAACCCGGGAAUUGCAUCCGAAACUGCUUGGCUAGAGUCCCGGAGAGGAAGGCAGAAUUCCCAGUGUAGGGGUGAAAUCCGUAGAUAUUGGGAGGAAUACCAGUGGCGAAGGCGGCCUUCUGGACGGUGACUGACGCUGAGGUGCGAAAGCGUGGGGAGCAAACAGGAGUAGAAACCCCAGUAGUCC
rnacentral:rRNA from 1 species